rnacentral:rRNA from 1 species
CCUACGGGAGGCAGCAGUGAGGAAUAUUGGUCAAUGGGCGAGAGCCUGAACCAGCCAAGUCGCGUGAGGGAGUACUGCCCUAUGGGUUGUAAACCUCUUUUGUCGGGGCGCAAAAGCCGGACGUGUCCGGCUGUGAGAGUACCCGAAGAAAAAGCAUCGGCUAACUCCGUGCCAGCAGCCGCGGUAAUACGGAGGAUGCUAGCGUUAUCCGGAUUUAUUGGGUUUAAAGGGUGCGCAGGCGGAGUUUUAAGUCAGCGGUAAAAUCGUGGGGCUCAACCCCAUCCAGCCGUUGAAACUGGGGAUCUAGAGUGUGCGAGAGGUAUGCGGAAUGCGUGGUGUAGCGGUGAAAUGCAUAGAUAUCACGCAGAACCCCGAUUGCGAAGGCAGCAUACCGGUGCACAACUGACGCUCAGGCACGAAAGCGUGGGUAUCGAACAGGAUUAGAUACCCGGGUAGUC